rnacentral:rRNA from 1 species
CAGUCGCCGCGGUAAUACGAAGGGGGCUAGCGUUGUUCGGAUUUACUGGGCGUAAAGCGCACGUAGGCGGACUUUUAAGUCAGGGGUGAAAUCCCGGGGCUCAACCCCGGAACUGCCUUUGAUACUGGAAGUCUUGAGUAUGGUAGAGGUGAGUGGAAUUCCGAGUGUAGAGGUGAAAUUCGUAGAUAUUCGGAGGAACACCAGUGGCGAAGGCGGCUCACUGGACCAUUACUGACGCUGAGGUGCGAAAGCGUGGGGAGCAAACAGGAUUAGAUACCCGCGUAGUCCCUGUCUCUUAUAC